UUGAAUUUUAAUGAAGAGUUUGGUUGUAGCUGGCCCAUUCAUUUGGGCAUGUGCACACCUUCCUCUUUCAUCCCACACACACCUGUGAACCUGUGAGACAGAGAUGGGGAAUUUACUUGCUGCUUUUUGGAAUACAAAGGCAAUAGGUUAUUGGACCCCCCCUCUGUCUACUCAAUUAAUAUAAACUCAAUUUAUUUUGAAACGAAUGUAAUGGAUGUAACACAUCUCAUAC
rnacentral:misc_RNA from 1 species